ACACAUGAAGCUGGAAUCGCUAGUAAUCGCGAAUCAGAAUGUCGCGGUGAAUACGUUCCCGGGUCUUGUACACACCGCCCGUCACACCAUGGGAGUCGGAUAUGCCCGAAGCCGGUGACCUAACCGCAAGGGAAGGAGCCGUCGAAGGUGGAGCCGAUGACUGGGGUGAAGUCGUAACAAGGUAUC
rnacentral:rRNA from 1 species